CCUACGGGUGGCAGCAGUGGGGAAUUUUGGACAAUGGGGGCAACCCUGAUCCAGCCAUGCCGCGUGAGUGAAGAAGGCCUUCGGGUUGUAAAGCUCUUUCGGCCGGGAAGAAAUCGCUCAAGCUAAUACCUUGGGUGGAUGACGGUACCGGAAGAAGAAGCACCGGCUAACUACGUGCCAGCAGCCGCGGUAAUACGUAGGGUGCGCACGUUAAUCGGAAUGUGUGGGCGUAACGCCAUAACACGCAUGUGAAAUCCCCGGGCUUAACCUGGGAACUGCGUUUGUGACUGUGGUGCUCGAGUGCGGCAGAGGGGGGUGGAAUUCCACGUGUAGCAGUGAAAUGCGUAGAGAUGUGGAGGAACACCGAUGGCGAAGGCAGCCCCCUGGGUCGACACUGACGCUCAUGCACGAAAGCGUGGGGAGCAAACAGGAUUAGAUACCCGAGUAGUC
rnacentral:rRNA from 1 species